rnacentral:rRNA from 1 species
GGGGAAUUUUGGACAAUGGGCGCAAGCCUGAUCCAGCCAUGCCGCGUGUCUGAAGAAGGCCUUCGGGUUGUAAAGGACUUUUGUCAGGGAAGAAAAGGCUGUUGCUAAUACCGACAGCUGAUGACGGUACCUGAAGAAUAAGCACCGGCUAACUACGUGCCAGCAGCCGCGGUAAUACGUAGGGUGCGAGCGUUAAUCGGAAUUACUGGGCGUAAAGCGAGCGCAGACGGUUACUUAAGCAGGAUGUGAAAUCCCCGGGCUCAACCUGGGAACUGCGUUCUGAACUGGGUGACUAGAGUGUGUCAGAGGGAGGUAGAAUUCCACGUGUAGCAGUGAAAUGCGUAGAGAUGUGGAGGGAUACCGAUGGCGAAGGCAGCCUCCUGGGAUAACACUGACGUUCAUGCUCGAAAGCGUGGGUAGCAAACAGGAUUAGAUACCCUGGUAGUCCACGCCCUAAACGAUGUCAAUUAGCUGUUGGGCAACUUGAUUGCUUAGUAGCGUAGCUAACGCGUGAAAUUGACCGCCUGGGGAGUACGGUCGCAAGAUUA